GAUAAGGUAGCAAAGUCUUGCGGCAGGUUGUAGCCCUGAGGACGGGAGUAUUCCCUCUUAUCA
rnacentral:tRNA from 1 species